rnacentral:misc_RNA from 1 species
AAAGAACUGAGAUUUAUCACCCUAAAUCCAAAAGGGUAUUCUUCAAAAUUAACAAAACAUAUACAAAACACUAUAUAUUCAGAACAAAAAAAUCCCCUUUCUAUUGUAAGCAGCUCACCAAACAAACCCCAAUUACAAGAAAAGAACCCUGAACAUAAAAACACCCCCUUUAUUCAGCUAUAAACAAAGAUUCUUGCUUUUCCUCUUCUUUUUUUUUUCAAAAUUUAUAUUUAAAUACAACUUAUCUGUAAAUAUUCAGCUUGUUUUUGAACACCCUUCAACUUAUUUAUUUUUUUUUGCAGAUUUUUUGGGAAUUUUUCAAGAAAAGAAUGCCUGAGACUAAUGUUUUU